GAAGCUGGGCUCAGACUGCGCGGCGGUCGCGGGCAGAGGGUAGUUUGCUGCACCGCUGAGGAUCCGUCGUGAGGACAUCCAAUACAUAGAAAACAAACAACAGCAACCGUCGCUCAUUUUUAAAUAUUAAAAUUGCUGGGGAGCACGACGGAUCCUGCAGCUGUUCGGCUGUCCUGGUCAAGUCAGUGACCCUAGGGCUCUGCACCGUGCCCUGCACACAACCCCCAGGAAAGAGGCUCUGAUGUGUUCCCUGCUGCAAGGCUGGCUGCAUGAUCUGUGGGGCCCAGGCAAACUCAAAGUGCAGAGCUCCUUGUCCAGAAAGCAGACGGAAGGUGCCAUUAAGAACCAUGCUGGUAAAAACAAACGCUGCCCAAAGGGGACUUGUUUCAUAUGCACAAGUUCUUUCACUCUCGGCCUGGGACGCACUGAUGAGUAAGGAAGGACUGAAGGCAAAAGAACUACGGACUGGCCUUUCGGCAUAAUCAGGUGUCUAAUAUAAAGAAGUGCAUGAAUAAGAAAACAUAUGAUAUGUGUGAUGGCUAAUACUGAGUGGCAGCUUGAUUGGACUGAAAGAUGCAAAGUAUUGAUCCUGGGUGUGUCUGUCAGGGGGUUGCCAAAGGAGAUUAACAUUUGAGCAGUGGGCGGGGAGGCAGACCUACCCUUAAUCUGGGUAGGCACCAUCUCAUCAGCUGCCAGUGCUAGAAUAUAAAGCAGACAGAAAAAAUGUGAAAAGAGAGACUGGCCUA